rfam:Beta vulgaris subsp. vulgaris Bvchr6.sca027.con0174.1, whole genome shotgun sequence.
AAAAAAGCAGGGUCCUAUUACCUUUUUGUGAAUGGGUCUCUCGUAAACUUCAGGGAAAUUAAGUUUGCAUUGUUAUUGGGUGAACCACUGGAGUUUUUCUAUGAUGGGAGGUUCAGUAAACGAUGUCACAUUU